rnacentral:rRNA from 1 species
UACGUAGGGGGCAAGCGUUGUCCGGAUUUAUUGGGCGUAAAGCGCGUGUAGGUGGCCAAGUAGGUCCGCUGUGAAAACUUGAGGCUCAACCUCAAGCUGUCGGUGGAAACCACUUGGCUAGAGUCCGGAAGAGGAGAGUGGAAUUCCUGGUGUAGCGGUGAAAUGCGCAGAUAUCAGGAAGAACACCAAUGGCGAAGGCAGCUCUCUGGGACGGUACUGACACUAAGACGCGAAAGCGUGGGGAGCGAACAGG